UAGUUGGCAGGGUAAAAGCCUACCAAGGCUAUGAUCGGUAGCCGGCCUGAGAGGGCACACGGCCACACUGGCACUGAAACACGGGCCAGACUCCUACGGGAGGCAGCAGUGGGGAAUCUUGCACAAUGGGGGAAACCCUGAUGCAGCGACGCCGCGUGAGCGAUGAAGCCCUUCGGGGUGUAAAGCUCUUUCGGCAGGGAAGAUUAUGACGGUACCUGCAGAAGCAGCUGCGGCUAACUACGUGCCAGCAGCCGCGGUAAUACGUAGGCAGCAAGCGUUGUUCGGAGUUACUGGGCGUAAAGGGUGUGUAGGUGGCCUGUUAAGUUCCGUGUGAAAUCUCCCGGCUCAACCGGGAGGGUGCGCGGAAAACUGGCGGGCUAGAGUACGGGAUGGGAGAGUAGAAUUCCUGGUGUAGCGGUGAAAUGCGUAGAUAUCAGGAGGAAUACCGGUGGUGUAGACGGCUCUCUGGACCGUAACUGACACUGAGACACGAAAGCGUGGGUAGCGAACAGGAUUAGAUACCCUGGUAGUCCACGCCCUAAACGAUGCAUAUUUGGUGUAGGCAGUUCAUUCUGUCUGUGCCGGAGCUAACGCGUUAAAUAUGCCGCCUGGGGAGUACAGUCGCAAGGCUGAAACUCAAAGGAAUUGACG
rnacentral:rRNA from 1 species